GACACACACAGAGAGAAAUAUCCAGAGAGAGAAGGGGACAGAAGCAGGAAGAUAUGCAAAGAGAACAGCAAGAGAUGAGGGAGAAAUAGAAGGGAGGAUGUCUUUCGUUUCUCAUCAAGACAAGGGCCAGGUUGGGGAGGAAAGAAGAUAAAUAAAUGUAUCCAGGACUGGGCUGGAGAACUAGGCAACAGUUGUGAACAUAGCUUUCACUUCUUGAACUAACCAACUGAGACUGAGAUGUGAGGCCACUCAUCUAACAUCACCCAUGGGAUGGAUACAAGGCAAAGCUGGACUGAAGCAGCCUUUUUGUGGAGAGAGGCCAGCGAUAGCCUCCAGGCUCCCCGAGGCCUCUCCCCAGGUGUUUGUCAUCAGCCACAGCUGGGGCCUUUGUGUUUCUGGAGAGGAACAGAGAGUGGCUGCGUGGCUCUGCUUCCCACUGCAUCGGGAAAGGAUGAUGAUCAGCGCUUCUACAAUGUCCUCAUUCAGGGUGAAGUGGAAAUGUCCCAGCUCUGGGGAGUCAGGUGGUCCAAACUUCACAUGCUGUUCUUCCCGGUCUCCCCCAGGCAUCAGAGCCAGUGCCUCACCCUCUACCCACUGGACCUCUUACUCUAUACAAGGGAAAGGUUGCCUGAGCGAGCCCCCUCUGAACGGGACAUCCUACAACUGAUAUUCAAAACGGCACACCCAGAGAGUUUUGGAAGAGCUGUGAAAUGUCCAUGAAGCUCCUAAUGUUAUGUACAGAAUUUUGUGAAUGUGGGUGUUCCUUACACGUACUGGAAAUUUGUAGCAUUUAUCUGAUUCUCAGAGGGAUCUCUAAUGCCUAUAUUAACAACCACAAUCAACACAGGGCUGCGAUUGUGGCUUAGUGGGUAGAGAGCGACUGCCUAGCAUGGAUGAAGCCGUGGGUUUGAUCCACAGUACAUAAUAGGCAUGUGGGCACUCCCCCAUAAUCCUAGCUCUUGGCAGGUAAAAGUGAGAAGUCGCCUUUCCAGUACACAGGGAGUUUGGGACCAGUUUAGCCUACAAGAGUCCUGCUUAAAAAAAGAUAGUACAGAGAGAUAGGUAGGUAGAUAGAUAGACAGACAGACAGAAGGCAAGUACAUGAUAGAUAUGGCAAUAGAAAAGAACGGGAAGGGGAGUGGGGAGAUACAGGUGAAUGAGUAAGGCCUGGAGCCUGUGAUUGGAAGUUCAUGGCGCUCCCAUGUUACAGAACAGUCUUUGCUCUGGAUGGUGGGUAAUGCUGCCAACACCUUUGCAGGAUCCCUACCAAUGCCUUUCUGCCAUCUUAACUUGUAUGGAAAUCACUCUUUUGUAUCCAGAAGGCAAAGCCACCCCAGGUGAGAGCCACUGGCCUGGAAGAAGACACUUGAACAGUACAUCAGCUGGGGAUGAGGCUGAGACUAAAAGGCAUAAAAAUAGGAGUCAUUUUGCUUAUCUUUCUUUUCUUAUUUCAUUUUUUUUGGGGGGGGGUUUACCAGAAGUCAGACUCAGAACCUCGUGCAUGCUUGGUGGUUGCUCUACCACUGCCAUAUCCCCAGCCCUUCACUGGUGUACACUAGGCAGGUGCUCUGCCUUCUAAACAUACCUCCAUUCUCUCGCUAGCAGAUUCUAGGCACUCCACAUAUGAGCCAAGAACCUAACAAAACUCUUCCCUUAAACCCUUCUUUGUUUCUGAAACCCAUCUCAAUAAUAAUAAUAAUAAUAAUAAUGGUGAUAUUGGCGAUGAUGUUAUUAUUUCUAUUGAGGUGUGUACGCCUGUGUCUGCAUAGUUAAGUGUAGUACCCGUAUAGGCCAGAAGAGGGCAGAAGAUCCCCUGAAGUUGACUCUACAGAGCACCCAACGUCAGUGCUGGGAACCCUACUCAGUCUUCUGAAAGAGUAGCAAGCACUCUUAACUGCUGGGCGCUCUCAUUUUCAAAGUAUUUUCAAAUAUUUAUUUUUAUUUGAUGUACAGGUAUGAGUGUAUAUUCACAUUUAUGAGCCAGUGUCCACUGAAGCCAGAAGAGGGUGGCAGAUCCCUCAGAGGGGUUGUGACUGCUCAGCAUGGGUGCUGAGAAUGGAACGCUGGUGCUUGUGGCUGCGCGGUAAGGACUCUUAACCACAGAGCCAUUCCCCUAGCCCCAGACUACUAUACUCUAUUUCUCAUAAGGAAAUGGUGAUAAAA